AGGCAUUCUUAAACCGUCCUGGCUGCUGCACGCUCAGUGCUUCCAGGAUACGAGUGAGUGCAAGAGAGCGAGCAAGAGGUCCAAAGGGCUGCGCCCGCCCCCAGCCCCCCACCUUGGCUCAGCCUCAUUUCAGACCUGCGACAUCU